GAUGAACGCUAGCGGGAGGCUUAACACAUGCAAGUCGAGGGGCAUCACGAUGUAGCAAUACUUUGGUGGCGACCGGCGCACGGGUGAGUAACGCGUAUGUAACCUGUCCUUUACAGGAGGAUAACCCGGAGAAAUUCGGACUAAUACUGCAUAAAGAUAUAAUGAGGCAUCUCAUAAUAUUUAAAACUACGGUGGUAAAGGAGGGGCAUGCGUAACAUUAGCUGGUUGGUAGGGUAACGGCCUACCAAGGCGAUGAUGUUUAGGGGACCUGAGAGGGUGACCCCCCCACACUGGUACUGAGACACGGACCAGACUCCUACGGGAGGCAGCAGUGAGGAAUAUUGGUCAAUGGGCGGCAGCCUGAACCAGCCAUCCCGCGUGAAGGAAGAAGGCGCUAUGCGUUGUAAACUUCUUUUUCAGGGGGUAUAAAAUUUUGUAUGUAUACAGAACUGAAGGUACCCUGAGAAUAAGCAUCGGCUAACUCCGUGCCAGCAGCCGCGGUAAUACGU
rnacentral:rRNA from 1 species